CUGGGUGUAGCUCACUAGUACAGCACAUGCUUAGCAUGCAUAAGGCCCUGGGUUCAAUCCUCCGCACCCAGA
rnacentral:tRNA from 1 species